GAUCUUAUAGUUUAAAAAAAAUGUAAAAUUGCAAGUUUUGAGAUGAAGAUUUUCUAAGAUUU
rnacentral:tRNA from 1 species